CAGUCGCCGCGGGAACACGUAGGUGGCAAGCGUUGUCCGGAAUUAUUGGGCGUAAAGGGCCCGCAGGCGGUUUCUUAAGUCUGAUGUGAAAGCCCCCGGCUCAACCGGGGAGGGUCAUUGGAAACUGGGAAACUUGAGUGCAGAAGAGGAGAGUGGAAUUCCACGUGUAGCGGUGAAAUGCGUAGAGAUGUGGAGGAACACCAGUGGCGAAGGCGACUCUCUGGUCUGUAACUGACGCUGAGGAGCGAAAGCGUGGGGAGCGAACAGGAUUAGAUACCCCCGUAGUCCCUGUCUCUUAUAA
rnacentral:rRNA from 1 species